rnacentral:lncRNA from 1 species
UACAUGAUUUAUUUUUAUACAUUUCUAAAAUAUAAAUGUACUGGCAUUGCACCUUUCUAUAAAAUGUUGUAUGAAGAAAUGAAAAUGCAUGGUACAGUACAAAUUGGCAUGAUUGUAUGUAAAAUGUUUUUUAUCUUGACAUUAUUAAUUUCAUAAGUGAUCACAGAUCGGAUAAAAAAAUACACACUUAAAAACUGAAUAAGAGCUUAUUUCAGUUAAAAUAAUCAUCUGGUCAACAAAUAUGUUAAAAAUAAUUGAUUUUCACUUUAUUUCCUAAAAGUUUAUUUAUAUCUUGUUACCCUACCUCUAUGUAAAGAUAUCUUAAAAACAUUUUCAUGAAAAAUUUGAGGUUUUAUAAAAACAAUCAUAAUGCUUUUAAGAAAAUUUAUAGAACAAAAAAUAGGUUUCAUUACUAAAAAGGUAAUGAGUCAGAUUUAUUUUACAGGGAAAUUUUGAUUAACAAGUUUAUAUCAAACAUUAUAUUGCAAUAGACAGGAAGACAUGUAUAAAUUUCUCUUUAAUUCAAAUUUAACCUCUCAAAAUUGACUUGCUUUUGACAGAUUCUUGCAAUACUUUACUUUAAAUUUGUUUUCUGAUUUAACAAUGAUGUGCAUUACAAAAUAUUCUGAGGAAUGGAGUAUUUAAUUCUAUAGAGUUACAACCAAGAACUAUUUUGUUCAAAAUUUUAUUUAAUGAAAAAGAAGAAAUUUCUUUUUUAUUAACAAGGAAAUAAAGUAGUAUUUUAAUAAUUUUAAAAUUUUCGUUAAAACAUUAAAGAAGCAAAUAUUUUAAUAAACAACAAAUCAAUUUGGUAUGACCAUGAUAAUUUUGGUAAAAUAUGAUAUCUAAGUUGCUUAAACUCAACACUGCCCCAUCUUAAAAAUAUUUGAAUGUAAAAUGAAAACUGAAAAUGAAAUAUUUAUAAUUGGUAUAAUUAUUUUUCGAUGUCAACUUCAGCAAAUAAAACAAAAACACAAACACAAAAAGGCACAUCACAUCAAAGAGGUAUUUUUAUGUAUACAAGAUUUCAUGAUCUUAUAAAUGUUCAAUGUUUGAAUUAUCAAAUUAAAACUUGUGAUUGUAAUAAUAUUUUACAAAAAUGCGUAUUUUAAGAUAAGUAACUAAUACCUGCUUGAUCAGAGACAUGAUAUAAACAUCAAAGUUAGAAUUUCUUUACAUAAUAUCAAAGGAAAGUCGUUGUAUAAAAUCAUCAAUAUGUAUAAAUAACAUUCAAAACAUUGCCAGACAGGCAUAAGUGGCCUUUUUUCUUUCUAUAUUGUGAGAAUGAGGCUUGCUAAAGUCAUACUCAAUUGAAAGCAAGGUGUACUUAAUAUACCUAUAUGUGGUUGAAGUUAAUCUAAUAAACUCAUGUUUCAUUUUUUUUAGACAAAAUGACUUCAAUAUUAUUGUUUGUAGUAGCACCAUGGAACAAAAAAGAUAAAAAGAUAUUGUGCUCUGCCAUAAAAAUAUCUUAUAUAAUUACUUAAUGAAUCUAAAUGUAUAAGCUUUUAUGCAGGAUAACAACAAAUAAAUAAAUAAGAACUUCCAAUUUUAUGGACAGUUUACACUGAAAUCAUUUUUUUUAAAUAUCAUAUCAAUAAAUUGUGUAUUGUAAAUCAUAAAUUACCAUUGCCAGUUCCAAUUUUCUUUGGCAAUGUAGUUACGGCAGCUGAACUGGAAGAAAUACAAGCAUGCCAUGAAGUGUACUGUUUUUCAUUAGUGGACAAAAUAUAUAAUAAUAAACAUCAAAAUUGAAAUCAUAUUUUGGCAAUUAGUUUUUAAUUUCAAAAUCUGCACUUCCUAAAUUUCAGUUGUCAUGAACAAAAAAAAGCUGGAUGUUUUGAAUUUUCAUAACUGUAUUUACCUUAAAAUGUUUUUUGUAAGGUCAUUUUAAUAAUUUGAUUCUCCUCUUAUCCUAU